GUAUAGACCCGAAACCCGGUGAUCUAGCCAUGGGCAGGUUGAAGGUUGGGUAACACUAACUGGAGGACCGAACCGACUAAUGUUGAAAAAUUAGCGGAUGACCUGUGGCUGGGGGUGAAAGGCCAAUCAAACCGGGAGAUAGCUGGUUCUCCCCGAAAGCUAUUUAGGUAGCGCCUCGUGAAUUCAUCUCCGGGGGUAGAGCACUGUUUCGGCUAGGGGGCCAUCCCGGCUUACCAACCCGAUGCAAACUGCGAAUACCGGAGAAUGUUAUCACGGGAGACACACGGCGGGUGCUAACGUCCGUCGUGAAGAGGGAAACAACCCAGACCGCCAGCUAAGGUCCCAAAGUCAUGGUUAAGUGGGAAACGAUGUGGGAAGGCCCAGACAGCCAGGAUGUUGGCUUAGAAGCAGCCAUCAUUUAAAGAAAGCGUAAUAGCUCACUGGUCGAGUCGGCCUGCGCG
rnacentral:rRNA from 2 species